UUCCCCCUACGGGGGCAGCAGUGAGGAAUAUUGGUCAAUGGGCGGGAGCCUGAACCAGCCAAGUCGCGUGGGGGAAGACGGUCCUAUGGAUUGUAAACCUCUUUAGGCGGGGAGCAAUGCCGGGCACGCGUGCCCGGAGGGAGAGUACCCGCAGAAUAAGCAUCGGCUAACUCCGUGCCAGCAGCCGCAGUAAUACGGAGGAUGCGAGCGUUAUCCGGAUUUAUUGGGUUUAAAGGGUGCGUAGGCGGAUUUUUAAGUCAGCGGUAAAAUGUCCGGGCUCAACCCGGGCCGGCCGUUGAAACUGG
rnacentral:rRNA from 1 species